rnacentral:lncRNA from 1 species
CAACGGUUAUAGUGACGGCAGCGGAGGUGUGGUGAUAUUUAAAUAUAUAUUUUUAAUAUAGAAUGCAAUUAGUAAUUGUGGAGGUGCAGGAAACAAUAUCUCACAAUAUUUUACUUUUGAUUAUAGGCCUAAUCUCACGCCAUGGCCGAAUAAAGGGCGUUGUUCCCUGCACCUCUCCCUUUUCUUCCUCCACCUUCCCAUUCCUCUUUUAUCCCUACUUUAUUUUUUAAUUCCUAAUUUAUCCUUUAGUAAAAAUUUAUUUUUAGGAUUAAAAUUUUAUAAUAUUUAUCUAUUCCCCCACACACAAUCUAUUUAUUCUCUCUUCAGUUCAUACUCUCAUUCCAAAUCUUCUUUAUCGUGAGUGAAAGGUAGGAAGAAAUUGUUGUAGGGGCAAGAAAAUUCAAUCUCUGUUGCUUAGCUUAGUGGUGGUGGACUUUAUUAAGGCAUUGCUUCAAAGCGACGGUGGACUCUAUCAAGGCAUUGCUCGAAAGCGGUAAUGGAUUCUGUAAAAAAAAGAAAAAGUUUGUGAAUAAACAAAAUACGUAACUUUGGAAAACCCUUAAACGGAUGUGAGCAUCCGUCAUCGGAUGUCAACAUCCGUUUAAAUAUUAAAUACAUUUGGUUCAGUCUGAAAGAUGAAAAUUCAAAGUUUCCACCUCACUUCCAUUUUUAGCCUUCAAAAUUCAACGAACACCCUAGCCUAGAAUUCAAU